rnacentral:SRP_RNA from 1 species
GCCAGGCGUGGUGGCGCAUGCCUGUAAUCCCAGCUACUCCGGAGGCUGAGGCAGGAGAAUUGCUUGGACCCGGGAGCAGAGGUUGCAGUGAGCAGAGAUCACACCACUGCACUCCAGCCUGGGUGACAGAGCAAGACUCCGUCUCUA